GGAGUUUGGGCCGUGUCUCAGUCCCAAUGUGGCCGUCCGACCUCUCAGUCCGGCUACAGAUCGUCGCCUUGGUAAGCCGUUACCUUACCAACUAGCUAAUCUGACGCGGGCCCAUCUCAUACCACCGGAGUUUUUCACACUGUGUCAUGCGACAUUAGUGCGCUUAUGCGGUAUUAUCAGUCGUUUCCAACUGCUAUCCCCCAGUAUGAGGCAGGUUGCCCACGCGUUACUCACCCGUCCGCCACUAAGAUUUAACAAGAUUUGACCGAAGUCUCGUCAGCGCUAAAUCUCCGUUCGACUUGCAUGUGUUAGGCACGCCGCC
rnacentral:rRNA from 1 species